GACGAACGCUGGCGGCGUGCUUAACACAUGCAAGUCGAACGGAAAGGCCCUGCUUGCAGGGUACUCGAGUGGCGAACGGGUGAGUAACACGUGGGUGAUCUGCCCUGCACUUCGGGAUAAGCCUGGGAAACUGGGUCUAAUACCGGAUAGGAGCCAUUUUUAGUGUGAUGGUUGGAAAGUUUUUUCGGUGUAGGAUGAGCUCGCGGCCUAUCAGCUUGUUGGUGGGGUAAUGGCCUACCAAGGCGGCGACGGGUAGCCGGCCUGAGAGGGUGGACGGCCAAAUUGGGACUGAGAUACGGCCCAGACUCCUACGGGAGGCAGCAGGGGGGAAUAUUGCACAAUGGGCGCAAGCCGGAUGCAGCGACGCCGCGUGGGGGAUGACGGCCUUCGGGUUGGAAACUCCUUUCGCUAGGGACGAAGCUUUUUGUGACGGUACCUAGAUAAGAAGCACCGGCUAACUACGUG
rnacentral:rRNA from 1 species